AACCUGGUUGAUCCUGCCAGUAGUCAUAUGCUUGUCUCAAAGAUUAAGCCAUGCAUGUCUAAGUAUAAGCUUUUAUACAGCUAAACUGCGAAUGGCUCAUUAUAACAGUUAUAGUUUACUUGAUAAUCUUUACUACAUGGAUAACCGUGGUAAUUCUAGAGCUAAUACAUGCGAAAAAACCCGACUUCUUGGAAGGGUUGUAUUUAUUAGAUAAAGAACCAAUAUUUUUGGUGACUCAUAAUAACUUUACGGAUCACAUUAUGUGACAUAUCAUUCAAGUUUCUGACCUAUCAGCUUUAGACGGUAGGGUAUUGGCCUACCGUGGCUAUGACGGGUAACGGGGAAUUAGGGUUCGAUUCCGGAGAGGGAGCCUGAGAAACGGCUACCACAUCUAAGGAAGGCAGCAGGCGCGCAAAUUACCCAAUCCUAAUACAGGGAGGUAGUGACAAGAAAUAACAAUACAGAACCUUACGGUUUUGUAAUUGGAAUGAGUUAAGUAUAAACCCCUUAACAAGUAUCAAUUGGAGGGCAAGUCUGGUGCCAGCAGCCGCGGUAAUUCCAGCUCCAAUAGCGUAUAUUAAAGUUGUUGCAGUUAAAAAGCUCGUAGUUAAUCUUCUGUUAAUUUUUAUAUAUAAUAUCUYGAURUUUAUAUAAUAUUAARAUAAUUCAUAUUACUUUUUAGUAUAUGAAACUUUACUUUGAGAAAAUUAGAGUGCUUAAAGCAGGCUAUUGCCUUGAAUACUCCAGCAUGGAAUAAUAUUAAGGAUUUUUAUUCUUCUUAUUGGUUCUAGAAUAAAAAUGAUGAUUAAUAGGAACAGUUGGGGGCAUUUGUAUUUAACAGUCAGAGGUGAAAUUCUUAGAUUUGUUAAAGACAAACUACUGCGAAAGCAUUUGCCAAGGAUGUUUUCAUUAAUCAAGAACGAAAGUUAGGGGAUCGAAGACGAUCAGAUACCGUCGUAGUCUUAACCAUAAACUAUGCCAACUAGAGAUUGGAGGUUGUUCCUUACUCCUUCAGCACCUUA
rnacentral:rRNA from 1 species